rnacentral:lncRNA from 1 species
CUUGAAUACUAUUAUAGAUAGCGAUAAACUGUAAACAGCAAUAAUGUUCAGCAAAGUAAGAUCUACAAAUAAGUCAACAUGACCUAAAUGGUCAAUUGACCCCUUAAGGAGUUAUUGCCCGUUAUAGUCAAUUUUUAACAAUUUUCAUUAAUUUGGUAAAUUUAUGUAAAUUUUUACCAAAUAUAGUUCUGUUACUAAUGGGCAAAGUUCAUUAUAGAUAUAAUUGUAAGAAGCAAAAUCGUUCAGUAAAGUAAGAACUUCAAACACAUCACCA